AUGUUACUUCUCAGGAAAGAAAAGACAAGCUGGUUUGUAGUAUUCUGUGAUUAUAUGUGGACUGGGUUUCUGAAUGUUAAAGUUCUGGAUGCCUCGGUACCAGCAUCUAGAUGUGUCAAAAGAUGUGAGGUAGACAGAAGACUUGGAACUAUCCUCAAGGAACAGGAGAUGGCAUCUCUCCCUGUCCCGAGUGUGCAGGCCAUGGUGGCGGCCACCGGUGGAGCCGACGUGCCGCCAAGGUAUCUCCGUCCGGCAGAGGCGGUCGCUGGCGACAGCGAGGCCCACAUCCCCAUCAUCGACUACCAGAGGCUGCUGCUGGAGCUGGAGCUGGACCGCCAUGGCGAGGAGUCUGCACGCCUUCACGGGGCCUGCCAGGACUGGGGCUUCUUCCAGCUGAUUAACCACAGCGUCCCAGACGAUGUGGUGGAGGGAAUGAAGGCCAGCAUCCAGCAGUUCUUUCAGUUACCCAUGGAGACGAAGAAACAGUUUGCUAUGGAGCGAGGGCAGCUGGAAGGCUACGGUCAACUAUUCGUCUUCUCGGAGGAUCAGAAGCUCGAUUGGGCUGACAUACUUUACCUCUACACACAGCCACAUGAGAGCAGGAACACCAAGCUCUGGCCAGACCAGCCUGCCAACUUCAGAUCGAUGCUGGAUAGAUAUUCUGGUGCUGUCAAGGAUGUAUCAGACUCCCUUUUGGCCACGAUGGCAAAGAAUUUGGGACUGAAAAGAGAAGCGAUCGCUGACAAAUGCAUCCGUGGAGUGCAGUCUGUCAGAAUGAACUACUACCCCCCAUGCGCCCAAGCUGAGAAAGUCGUUGGCUUAUCCCCGCAUUCUGAUGCUGGUCUCCUAACCCUUGUCCUCCAAGUGAAUCAUGUCCAGGGCCUGCAGAUCAAGAGGAACAACAGGUGGCUUCCAGUCAAGCCUGUCCCGGGCGCUUUCAUCGUCAACAUCGGAGAUAUGUUUGAGGUCUUCACGAACGGGAGGUACAAGAGCAUCGAGCACCGGGCGGUUGUCGACCCGAAGGAAGAACGGCUGUCAGUCGCGGCGUUCCACUUACCAAACAUCCACGCCAUUAUAAGUCCUCUGAAGGAGAUUGCGGCACAUGAAGACGAUGGCUACAAGACGUUGGACCACGGGAGCUUCAUGAAGCUUUUCUACACGACAAAGCUCGAGGGGAAGAGCUUCUUGGAGAGGCUGAAGCUAAACUAG
rnacentral:rRNA from 1 species